GCAAGCCAGCCAGCGCUCCUCGUCACAUAGCCAACUCGUCCACGGCUACGGGUACAUAUAGACUUUAUUCGCCCGCUGCAGGAAAAGCUGAAUGGCUCGCUGAUUGGCGAAUGGCUUUAGUGUAACCCUCGAACAAAGUGUGAUUUGAGAGGCGAGUGUGCGAUCCUGAAUUCUGGAGCGAAUCGCCCGCGAUCUUCGAGGAGAGAGCCGAGCAAGGAGAAAAAACUCCGGGCGCCAAAUAGUUUCAGCGCAGCGUUUAUAAGCCUAAAAGGAUGUCGCUGGCUACAAUCUCGGUAACUGUGUCCUGGCUACCUAUCGGAUCAAUGAUCACUCGAGGCAUGCAGGUAUCCCUUGGAGGCAUAGGAUUUCCCAGUCUCCCUCAGCGACUAGCCUCUGUGGGUCGAAAUAUGCUGUCUGCAACUCGCGUCCGAAGUUUGAGCUGAAAAAACAACUUUGAUGAAGUUAUUGCCGGUAAUGGCAUUAACGAGAACAUUAAUGAUACAAAUCUUGAUGGUUAUAACACUGAUGAUGAUAAUAAUGAUGACAAUGAUAGUAACAGUGAUUGUAGUAAUGAUGAUGAAUGAUUAUAAUAAUG